rnacentral:other from 1 species
UGCGAUCUGCGCCUCUCGACAGGAUACACAAUCCCCGGGGCCUUAAUUGAUCCCAAGGGAGCUGUCCCUGACCGGACCCGUGGGUCCGGACAUAUGGCGCCCACCUACGUUGUAGGUUCCCGGGAUCGAAACAUCCAUCGGUUGCCGUGGGUCGCGC